GACGAACGCUGGCGGCGUGCUUAACACAUGCCAGUCGAACGAAGUGGCGAACGGGUGAGUAACGCGUAAUCAACCUGCCCUUCAGAGGGGGACAACAGUUGGAAACGACUGUUAAUACAGCAUACUUAAGGAGGGGAUUGCGUCUGAUGAGCUAGUUGGAGGGGUAACGGCCCACAAAGGCGAUGAUCAGUAGCCGGUCGGAGGCGAUGAACGGCCACAUUGGGACGGGGACAAGACCCAGACUCCUACGUGAGGCAGCAGUGGGGAAUCAUCCGCGAUGGACGAAAGUCUGACGGAGCAACGCCGCGUUAGUGAUGACUGCUUUCGGGUUGUAAAGCUCUGUUAAUCGGGACGCGGUACCGGAAUAGAAGGCCACAGCUAACUACGGGCCAGCAGCCGCGGUAAUAC
rnacentral:rRNA from 1 species